GCGGGCUUCGUUAGACGGCAAGACGGAAGUGGGGUGAGGGAUAAAGGCAGCUGGUUGAUGAAGAGACGACGACAAAUCAAUAUGGCGCCUGACAGCUGUGAGGGCGGUCCAGUCCAGUGAGGGUCGUAUAAACCUGAUCUCAGGUGAGCUUCUCUGAGGUGUCACAGGCCCAAUCUCCACGUUUGGAGCCGUUCCUCUACGAUCAGGACUAAACUUUGGUGAGACCGCACGCCGGAUUACAUCAGCAGGAGAUUCAGCUCGUCUAACAGCUGGUGCCUCCUUUUCUCCUCCACAGCAGCUCUGCGCUGCUCCUCCUUCUGCCUCUGCUCCUCCAGACGCCUCCACCUCUCCUCCCUCGUUCUUUCAUACUGCAGACGAGCGCGACGCUCCUUCUCCAACAGAG